rnacentral:lncRNA from 10 species
GCGGGAGAAAACGCGGAAGGCGGCUCUGGACGCGGGCGGUGCUCACCCCCGGUUAUCCUCCACCGUCCCCGCAAGCCGUUUCCAGGCAGUAAUCCCGGGCGGGCGAGGUCCCCUGCGUGCCGGCGCGGCCCCGAGUGUGCCCUGACGCCCAGUGUGCUACUUCACUUACUCCGAACAGUCCUAUUGUUCCUCCCAGCAGAGCCAUUGAAACGUUUGCAAAAUAGCAGAGGGUUCCAGAUGGGAGGAGCCAUUGUUCAAAGUCCAGACCACCCAGCGGGCAUGUCAGGUAAUGGGCUUCACAUCUGACCCCUGCAGAAAUUUGAUAACACAUUAAGGGUGUCAUAUGAUUGGUCUAUGCCAUUGGGGAAAAUACCCUCCUUUUCCUUCCUGCUGACUUCUUUUUCCCCAUUAUCUUCCCUCUCCUCUUGUAGGACCACAAAUCCUCCUAAAAAUCUAUUCAAAAGAAGUUACUAGAUUAAGUUAAAGUUAAACUCAGUUAAAAAGAUAGUAAAUGUUGUUUUGCUGUCAAAUUUGUCUUUUGCAGCUCACAACAUGACCUGCUUAUGUGUUUGAUUUUCAGACCCGUAAGACGUUAUCCCCAACGGAAGAAACAAUGGCAGAGAAAGGUAACUAUGUAGAGCAGCAAGCCCCUCAGAUUUAAUGUGCAUGCAAAUCAAUGGGGGUUCCUGUUCAAAUGUUUCAGUAGGUCUGGAAGGGGCCCAAUAAUCUGCAUUUCUAGCAAGCAACCAGGGGAUGAGGAACUCUUUGAGUGGCAAGAAUGUGGAUUGGAUGUUGUUUAACUGCUUCUAUUUUGUAGCACAUCUCUCAAUUUGACUAAGCUAUAGAAAAUACAGGGUGACAAACUUUUCUCCUUAAAACUGAAUUCCUUAAUGCUUUGUUACAGAAAUAUAUGAGGAUAGAGCAUUGUUCAUUAUCCCUUUUUUUAAAAAAGGUUCUACUGAUGAUCAUUCAACCUUCAUUACCAUUUUUGUUGCUUUUCCGCUGUGAGCACAGGACACCUAUUCUCUAUCUGGAUCCAGUAUACUAAGCUAUAACCAUCUCUCCCAGGAAAUCAUGUGUUUGCUGGGAGUGAAUUUUCCAGAAGGCACCUUGGCCUCAUGACACGGAAGGUCUGAUUCCAAUUCUGCCAGUGAAGAACUGAGAGACCCUGGACAAGUUGUCUCGCCUUUCUGAUCAAUUGCUAUACCUAAAAUAGGUACACUGUGUGGGGGGAAGCGAUUAAAAUUUUUGAAAAAUUUUUAAUUUUUUGGUUUAUUAUUAUUUUUUAUAGAGAUGGGGUCUCACUAUGGUGCCCAAGUUGGUUCAAACUCCUGAACUCAAGCGAUCUUUCCUUGACGGCCUCCCAUAGUGCUGGAAUUAUAGGCAUGAGUUACCACUCCCCGCCAAAAAUUUAAAAAAAGUUUUGAGUGGGAAAAUAGAACUAUCAACUUCACAGGAUUAUUUUAAGCUUUAAAUGAGAUAGUGUAUGCAAAUUACUUACUAUAUUACAUGAAGUAAGAACUAAUCCUCAUAAAGCCAUGUGAAAUGCUCCAUAAAGCAGGCUUAAAAACAAACAAACAAACCUCUGAAAUUUACAUUCAGAAUUGCUACAAUGUUUUCCUGUGAUCCAUAUUGGAAGGAAAUCUUUCCAAGACAUCUCCCAUCCCUGCCUUGUUUAAUGGUGUCUCCUGAAUUCACUUUAGCUCUUUCCUCAUGACUCAGGGUCCCUGUUUUGCAACGAGUGACUGUACUGUCCUAGAACAUAGGGAUGACCUCAGUCAGGGGUUUUUCUACUGUCCACCCUCCCCUCCCCCUCCUCCACCCACACUCUCACAGCCGUGUUCAUAGUUCCAUAAUAGCACUUACCACACUGUGGCA